GGGGACAUGGCGGCCGCCCGCUGUGGUGAUCGCGCGGGGAAUAAAACUGCCGCUUCUCCUCGGAAAUAAUACUCUGCCGUUUCCCCCGCGCCCCAAGCCGUGCCUAACCCGCCAUCCGACCAGUGCGGAGGCGACGGUCCCGAGGCUACAGAUUUCCCCAGAAUCUGCCACUUGACGUCAAGGAGCAGCAGGCAGAAGAUGUGACGAAGCACGUUCUUCAGUGUCUCAAGAACUGGAAGAAUCCAAAGCUUCAAGAAGGAGGAAAAUGCCAGAAAAUGCUGGGAAAAAUUGAUUUUUUCGUGUAAAAUUGUGAGGAAAAAUCAGAACUUUGGAGGGAAAAAGGCAAAAAUUGAGGAA